rnacentral:rRNA from 1 species
AUCUACAGCCAUGCACCCUGAACAAGCCUGAUCCUGUCUGACCUCAUAAGCUAAGCAGGGUCGGGCCUGAUUGGUACUUAGAUGGGAGACCACCAAGGAAGACUAGGUGCUGUAGGCA